rnacentral:misc_RNA from 1 species
GAUGAAGAACGCAGCGAAAUGCGAUAAGUAAUAUGAAUUGCAGAAUUCAGUGAAUCAUCGAAUCUUUGAACGCACAUUGCGCCCCUUGGUAUUCCGAGGGGCAUGCCUGUUCGAGCGUCAUUAUAACCACUCAAGCUCAGCUUGGUGUUGGGGCCUGCUGCACUGGCAGCCCUUAAAAUCAGUGGCGGCGCCAUCUGGCUCUAAGCGUAGUAAUUCUUCUCGCUAUGGAGUCCUGGUGGAUGCUUGCCAUCAACCCCCAAUUUUUCUAUGGUUGACCUCGGAUCAGGUAGGGAUACCCGCUGAACUUAAGCAUAUCAAUAAGCGGAGGA